UGGAUUGAACAUUUGAUACAAGAUCAAAGACUGACUUGGAAUCAAAAAGGCAACUUGCUUCCGUAUCUUUCUGCUAUCUAAGACAAGACUUCUGCAUCCCUACUGCCUGGAAUGGAUACAAAGAAGUACCUGGUAAUUCUGGCUCUCGAGACGUUCCUUAUGAUUGUGAAGAUGAGGAAAUGAUCCAGAAAAGUGGCAUUGAUUUUGAAGAGCAGAGGAAUUUGCCAGUCACUCCUUGUUGCUAAGCUGCAAGAAAAAACCCUCCAUCAGCUCUCAGCACGUCACUCACAAAUAUCAGUGGGACAUGGUAUUUACAGUGUUUGUGUAAAGCCCCAGGAAUGGUUUAGACUACAUCCUUCCACUUCAAGCAAUUUGAAUGAGAUCUUAAAUAUCAGGAUCCUCUUCACUUGGUUGCACAAAAUGAAUUGCGUAAUCUUUUCCUUUGGGAGCACAUUCCUUGUGCUCUGCAUCUGUAGACUAUGAUCCAUUUAUACAAAUACAGGGCAAAGAUUUUGCAGAAAGGGAAAGUUACAUGACCUGUGCAAUUCUCUUAUGUACCCUGCAAGCUUGUGGCUUUUUGGAUCCUCCUUUCACUGAUGACCCUUUAGAGAGUUAAAUCUCAAAUCCCAGCCUGGAAUUUAUUAAGAGUUGAAUGGUGAGAUUCAUCCAGCACAAAACUGUUUACGGCAAGCUUGUGUAGAGAAAAAGACUAGCUGGUCUAUUUUUUGCCUUGCUCUAAAUAUUGUCAUUUAUAACAAAGCCGACUGAUGCCUUUUCCUCAUGUUCUCUAUGUGCCCAGAACAUCAGACACUAGACACGCUUACCAGACUUCAACAUAGAAAUUUUCCACUUGCUUUGUAUCCAGGGGAAGGAAAGCAUUGGCUGCUUCACUAACACAAAAUAUUUAAUGCCUUCACAGAAGAAUCCCAGAUGAUUGAGGGGGGGCAAGGCUUCAGGAUUUCAGGGUAAAUGGUGCUCAGGUCUGUGGAGUCCAUGUAUGAAGUCUGCUCAGAAGUUAAGGCCUCCAAUUUAUUUCCAUGGAAAUGACAACAGAUGCAAAGAGCACAAUAACACUACUUGAUAGAGCAAAUUCUCA